UACGUAGGGUGCAAGCGUUGUCCGGAAUUAUUGGGCGUAAAGAGCUCGUAGGCGGUCUGUCGCGUCGGCUGUGAAAACCCGGAGCUCAACUCCGGGCCUGCAGUCGAUACGGGCAGACUCGAGUCCGGUAGGGGAGUGCGGAAUUCCUGGUGUAGUGGUGAAAUGCGUAGAGAUCGGGAGGAACACCCGUGGCGAAGGCGGCCAGCUGGGCCGGCCCUGACGCUGAGGCGCGAAGGCGUGGGGAGCGAACGGG
rnacentral:rRNA from 1 species